GACGAACGCUGGCGGCGUGCUUAACACAUGCAAGUGGAGCGACGAACCAGGCUUCGGCCUGGGGCAAAGCCGCGAACGGGUGAGUAACACGUGGGUAACCCUGCCCCCGAUGACCGGGACCGAACCCGACGGAAACUACGGGCGUAAUACCGGAUGUGCUCGCAUCACAUCAGUGGUGUGAGCAAAGGUAAGCUUCGGCCUCCGCAUCGGGAGUGGGCCCGG
rnacentral:rRNA from 1 species